GUGUGGGGUUGGGGGGUUUGACUGGUCGACCGCGUUCUCGAUUCGUGGUGGAGUUUCUUCUCUGGCUGCCGCUAGGUCUCCUCUCGGAUCCGGCAGAUCCUCCCUCUCCGCUGGCUGGUCUUGCCGGCUGCGGCGGCUUUGCUCUCCAAUCUGGCGGCUCCUCUCUCUUCAUCGGCGAUCUGGGUCUGGAGGGGCUGUUUCUUUGGCGGGAUUUAUUCGCCUGUUCGUUUGGCCGGAGUGGCCCGCUGGUUUACCCGAGGUACCUUCAUUCUUCUUGAUUUUUUCCUCUUUCUUUUUCGGAUGGCUCUGCGUUGAUGGUCUAUCUGUGUGCUGCUCAUUGUUCUUUGUACCUAUAUAAGAAACGGCCGUGUUCUAAUCGAUUGUUGUUGUGGAGUCGGCAUACUGCUCGGAGGCGGCAGCGUCGGGAUCCGUCUCUUCGGCAUGCUUCACAGUUGGGGGCGUUGAAUCCGGGCGGUGCUGGUGGUGGGUUGCUGGUUACUGCUCUUCCUCUUCACUGUUCUCUUUUUUGUUCUAAGAUGGUGGUUCUUCUGUUGCCAACACACACAAACGCCUCAGCAGCACCUACUUCAUAAGUUGUUGUUCAUGACGAACUUGUGCCGUUGCAUCUAGGCAUGCACCGGCAGAGGCAAAUGGUGUAGAGGACCAGGGCUCAUCAAGCAACAAGAAUGCACGGUCGGGGCAUGUGCUAACACAGCUUAUUCACGUCACGACGAAGUUCCAGACCGGCGACAUUCACCUCUACACGAUGGAUCCCGUGCCUCUGAUCAUGUUGCUGAUCGCGCCCGACACACGGUCUUCUUCGUGGCAGGGGCCUAUAGAUUGCACGGCCAUGGCUGCUAAAAAAAAGUGACAAGAUCAGUAGAACAUGGACUCCUUUGAAGAAUGUCGAUCAUACAGGCUGAUUAUCCUUCAGCACAUUUGCGCCGUCCUUCAGCUGCCCAUCAAUUCCAUCCAUACCAUCCACCAUAGCAAUGGCCCUUCGAGGGGUAUAUCGGCAUAGGGAUACUGUCGGAUGGUGUCAACUCCUAGACAUCAGCCGUCCCAAAGUUCUGCCAUGGCGACCACAUGCCCACCGAGUUUGCCGCUGUGGAGUGUGCAUGGGAGAGCACACACAAGACGGUCAAAGUUGAGAAUCAUUCCCCAAACAAUAGGCGGAUCAGCUCUAUGCAGCAUCAUUGACUUACCAGCCACCCCACCAGGGCGUGGCAAGAAAAGGCGCAGCGUCAGUCCAACUGUCUACAAAUAGUUAGAGGGAGGCUGCCUAGAAUUACUAAUUAGAAAUAGAAAGAAAAAUAAAAUACUUUCUCUGAUCCAAAUUAACUGGCGCAGCGAUAUACUAUGUAUUAUCAGCUCCCAUUACAUAAAUUAAGUAAUUCUUUUUUUUUGCCCAAUACAAUUGAGUGGUGAACUAA